GUGUGCACAUGUGUGCAAGUAUGAAUGUGUGUGCGUGCGUGUGAGUACAAGUGUGCACAUAUGUGCAAGUGUGACUGUCCUGUGCAUGAGUGUGUGUGAGUGUGUGCGUGUGUGUGCGAUUGAGUAUGCAUAUGCAUAAGUGAGUACAAGUGUGCACAUGUGUGCAAGUGUGUGUCAUGUGUGAGCAUGAGUAUGUGUGCCAGUGAGUAUUCAUGUGUCCACGAGUAUGUGUGUGUGCAUGUGUGCAAGUGUGAAUGUGUGUGCAUGUAUGAGUGUGCACAUGUGUGCACAUGUAAAUUCGUGGGUGAGCAUGAGUGUGUACGCCAGUGAGUGUACAUGUGUAAGCAUAAGUGUGUGUGCACGUGUGUGCAAGUGUGAAUGUCAUGUGUGAGCAUGAGUAUGUGUACGCCAGUGUGAGUGUGCAUGUGUGAGCAUGUGUGUGCACGUGUGUGAAUGCAUAUGCAUGGAAAGGAGGGAGGAUGGCGUUGUGUGUCUCACUGCACGUGGAUGAUAAUACAGCUUUGUGCCUGCUGUGUCUGCAUGAGCAUCUGAGCUUGUGUGUGCUGACGUACUUGUGUGUAUGGGGAGUGAAUGUGACUUGCUAUGUGUGGACAUCGGAUCCGUGUGUGUGCGCGCAUAUGCCUGUCAAUGUGUAGCCAGGGUGGGAAGGUCACGCAGGCGCCGCGGGCGGGCGCCGCCUGGGCCUUCUCUCCUUCGCACCUUCCUCCUCUCUCCCCCGCCCCUGCUUGGCAGCUGCCCUGUUUGCAAACACUGUCUCUUCCUCUCCGCGCCCUCCUUGGCCUCAGGCCCAGAGCAAGGCUACAACUCGGAGCUGGAUCGUGUGUCACGCACUCCCUGGCCCCUGCAUACCCCGCAGGGCGCCUGCUGUGGCCACCGAGGUGUUGCCUGGAGCGGGGCUGACAGCAGGUGUGCUCCUGUGGAGUGACCCCAAGGAGCCUUCGAAUCCAGGUUCAAGCCAUAGAGUUGGGGCCUCUGACCUGGACAAUCCGGAGUUUUGUUUUCGUCACCCCGGCUGGAGUGCAGUGGCACGAUCUCGGCUCACUUCAACCUCCGCCUCCUGGGUUCAAGUGAUUCUCCUGCCUCAGCCUCCAGAGUAACUGGGACUACAGGCACCCGCUACCACGCCUGGCUAAUUUUUGCAUUUUUAGUAGAGACAGGGUUUCACCAUGUUGGCCAGGCUGGUCUCAAACUCCUGACGUCAAGUGAUCCUCCUUCCUUGGCCUCCCAAAGUGCUGGUAUUACAGGUGUGAGCCACCGUACCUGGCCUUAGUAAUUUUGCUUUCAAGUAUCAUUAUUUAAGAAAUACAUUUUGUAAGGCUAUAGCUGUCAUAUAUAGUGAUUCCUCUGAUGGAUCUGGACAAAGUCAAUUGAAAACCUCCUGGAAAGGAUUCACCAUUCUAGAUGUCAUUAAGAACAUUCGUGACUCAGAGAAGGAAGUCAAAAUGUCAACAUUAACAGGAGUUAGGAAGAAGUUGAUUUCAACCCUUAUGGAUGACUUUGAGGGGUUCAAGACUUCAGUGGAGGAGUCACCGCGGAUGUGGUACAAAUAGCAAUGAAACUAGAAUUAGAAGCGGAGCCUGAAGAUGUGAUUAAAUUGCUGCCAUCUCAUGAUAACACUUGAACAGACGAGUUGCUUCUUAUGAAUGAGCACCAAAAAAAGUGGUUUCUUGAGAUGGAAAGUACUUCUGGUGAAGAUACUGUGAAUGUUGUUGAAACGACAAUAAAUGAUUUAGAAUGUUAAUAAACUUAGUUAAUAAAGUAGCAGCCGGGUUGGAGAAGAUUAACUCAAUUUUUAAAAAUUUUUUAGAGUCAGGGUCUCGCUCUGUCACCCAGGCUGGAGUGCAGUGGCACAAUCAUAGCUCACUGCUGCCUCCAUCUCCUGGGCUAAGUGAUCCUUCCAUCUCAGCUUCCCAAGUAGGUGGGACUACAGGUGCACACCACCACACCUGGUUAAUUUUUUUUUUUUUUUUUAGACGAAGUCUCGCUCUGUCACCCAGGCUGGAGUGCAAUGGUGUGAUGUCGGCUCACUGCGAGCUCCACCUUCCGGGUUCAUGCCAUUCUCCUGCCUCAGCCUCCCGAGUAGCUGGGACUACAGACACCCGCCACCACGCCUGACUAAUUUUGUUGUAUUUUUAGUAGAGACGGGGUUUCACCGCGUUAACCAGGAUGGUCUCGAUCUCCUGACCUCGUGAUCCGCCCAAAGUGCUGGGAUUACAGGCGUGAGCCACCGCGCCCGGCCGGCUAAUUUUUAUUUUCUUCGUACACACAGGGUCUUUCUAUGUUGCCCAGACUGGUCUCAAACUCCUGGGCUCAAGUAAUCCUCCUGCCUCAGCCUCCCAAAGUGCUGGGAUUACAGGCGUGAGCCACUAUGCCCGACCUUACUCCAAUUUUGAAAGAAAUUUUUACUGUGGAGUAAAUACUAUCAAAUAGCAUUGCAUGCUACAGAGAAAUCUUUCAUGAAAGAAAGAGUCAAUUGACGCAGCAAACUCCAUUACUGUCUUAUUUUAAGACAUUGCCACAGCCUCCCCAGGCUUCAGUAACCAUCACCCUGAUCAGUCAGCAGCCAUCAACGUCGAGGCAAGAUCCUCCACCAGCAAAACGACUAUGACUUGCUGAAGACUCCGGUGGUCAUUAGCAUGUUUAGCAAUAAAGUAUUUUUAAUUAAAGUAUGUAAUUAAAUACCUUUUUCUUUUCGAGAUAGAGUCUCGCCCUGUCACACAGGCUGGAGUGCAAUGGCAUGAGCUCGGCUCACUGCAACCUCUGCCUCCUGGGUUCAAGCGAUUCUCCUGCCUCAGCCUCCCAAGUAUCUGGGAUUACAGGCACGUGCCACCAUGCCCAGAUUAAAUACUUUUUUUUAGACAUGAUGCUAUUGUACACUGAAUAGUCUACCAUAUGGGCUGGGGCGGUGGCUUAUGCCUGUAAUCCCAGGACCUUGGGAAGCCGAGGCAGGCAGAUCACCUGAGGUGGGGAAUUUGAGACCAGCCUAGCCAACAUGGUGAAACCCCAUCUCUACAAAAUUACAAAAAUUAGCCGGGUGUGGUGGUGUGCAUCUGUAGUCCCAGCUACUCAGGAGGCUGAGGUGGGAGGAUCGCUUGAGCCCUGGAGGUCAAGGCUGCAGUCAGCUGUGAUUAUACCACUGCACUCCAGGCUGGGCAACAUAGUGAGACCCUGUCUCAAAAGAAAAACAAAAGAAAAGAAAACAAAAAGGCCAGGUGUGGUGGCUCACACCUGUAAUCCCAGCACUUUGGGAGGUGGAGGUGGGUGGAUCAUUUGAGGUCAGGAGUUCAAGAUCAGCCUGGUCAACAUGGUGAAACCCCGUCUCUACUAAAAAAUACAAAAAAUUAGCCGGGCGUGGUGGCGGGCGCCUGUUAAUCCCAGCUACUCCGGAGGCUGAGGCAGAAGAAUGGCGUGAACCCGGGAGGCGGAGCUUGCAGUGAGCCGAGAUCGCGCCACUGCACUCCAGCCUGGGCAACAGAGCGAGACUCCAUCUCAAAAAAAAGAAAACAAAAACAAAAACAAAAAUUAGCCGGGCAUGGUGGCGUACGCCUGUAAUCCCAGCUACUUGGGAGGCUGAGGCAGGAGAAUCACUUGAACCUGGGAGGGGGAGGUUGUAGUGAGCUGAGAUCGCACCACUGCACUCCAGCCUGGGCGACAGAGCCAGACUUUGUCUCAAAAAAAAAAAAAGUUAAGAAAAAAAAAAGGCAGAAUUUGCUUUGGUGGCUCUAGGCAGAGCAUGAGAUUCCGUGUUUGUAAACAGCUUCCACAUGAGUCCAAUGCUGCAGGCCCGUGGGUCACAUUUUGAGGUGCAAGGAAUGUGAGAUGACUUUAGAGUAUGGAUCCAGCAUCGGGCCCAGCUCUCACUCACGCAAACCGCUUACCUGCUGCGUUCUUCGGGGCCUCCUGUGUCAGCGCUCAUAGGAGAUCACAUCCAUUGCCCAGGGAAAAUCAAAGAUACGUGUCUUCCUUCGUACCCCUUAUCUGAUGAAGAAGUCCUCUCUGCUCCAACUUUGUUCUGUGUGUGUGUGUGUGUGUGUGUGUGUGUGUGUGUACCAUAAUGGCUGUUGAAUUUCAUCAAAUGUUUUUUUCUGCGUCAAUUGAGCUUGCUGGGCCUAUGCAGCUACUGUUUUGGGCUAGUUGCAAGCUGGCAGGCAGAGGAUCGAGCUCAGCUGUCCCAUGGGAGGUGUCCAGAGCCAGGGCCAGCACUGGGCGGGGGCUGGCCACCUAUUCUGGCCGUGGGCCCUGGGGCCAGAUGUUUGGGCUUAAGUGCCUGGCCAAGCAGGGAUAGAGUGACUGGGUAAUUAAGCACUCCCUUCUACAGAGCUGGCAGAAGGUGGCAGGGGGCGGAGGGGCCUAAGGCCAGAGUGCCCAACAGCCCCCCCUCCACCUCUGGCCUGCAGAGAGGGGCUGGGAGCCCGAACCCCAGGCUGGGCCCUCUGUUACUUUUGGUGGGGGGUGACCCAGGGCCAGCGUUCAUCUGCUCCCACCUGGACCUGGAAAAGGAGCCGUUUUCUUCCAUGUUGGGGUGCUGCCCUGUGACCCCCCAUCUCCCCAGGGCAGAAGCUCUCCCCUCAGCCUCUCCAGGGAACCAGUCAGCAGUUAUUUAAGUCUCAGGGCUUAAUGAGAUCUGGGGAACAGAAUUCUCAGCAUGCUCCUUCGCCCGCUGGCAGGAGCAGACCGUCCAUCUAUCAGGACCCCCAGACGUUAUCCGCACCCCGCCACCCCCCCGCCCAAGUAACUGGACCCUGUUGGCCUUUGCAGGACUGUGGGGGCGCCAGCCUUCAUCACCUUCCACGACCUCUAAGCCGAGAGAGGAGGAGGAGGAGGAAAUGGUUUCCUGCUUGAGGCUGCAGGACCCAGAAUCAGAGUAGUGGGGUCUUCCGAGACGGCCCCCAAUUUACAAACCAGCAAGCUGAGGCACAGAGAUGGGAAGGAGCCCACCCACGGUCGCUUGGAGUGGGGCAGUCAUGGAAGCCCCAAUCUGGAAACGCAGGCCAUGGUCAAAGCACGGAAAUUCACAUCACAGUAUUCAGGGUUUGAGUCCCUGGCUCUGCCGUGUGCCCUUUGGCAACGGGCCUGCCCUCUCUGAGCCUCAGAGUCCUUUCUGAAACGGGGAUCAAAGUUUCUCCCUCAAAGGGCUGUGGUGAGGACUGGAUGUACGUGGAUUAACAGUCCAUGCAGCGUUAGCACAGAAAAGUACAGGCAGGCGUGGUCGCAAGCACUGUCAUUAACUGAGCACAUCCUACAUGCCACGUUGUCCUUAUCUGCACUGCCACAUUUAAUCCUCACAACCCCAUGAGGCAGGUGCUAUUGCUCUACCCAUUUUACAGGUGAAAAAACUGAGGCUCAGAGAAGGGAGGGAAACUGCCAGAGUUCCACAGCCGGGACAUGGUUAAUCCAGGACUUGAACCCAGGUCAGUCUGACACAGCCGUGGAAUAUUUUCUUUCUUUCUUUUUUAAUAAAGAUGGGGGUCUCACUAUAUUUCUGGUCUGGAACUCCAGGCCUCAAGCCAUCCUCCCAUCUCGGCCUCCCAAAGUGCUGGGAUUACAGACAUGAGCCACUAUGGCCAGCCAAAAUAUUAUUUUAAGAGCAAGGGCCCUGAGUGCCAAGCAUGGCCCACCACGUGUUCCCUGAGUGAUCUGGGGUGCACGACCAAACCUCUCUGUGCCUCGAAGCCCAGAUCUGCAGAAUGGGGAUAAAUACAAUAAUUGCUCUCACAUGACGGGCGCUUAUCAAGAGCCAUCAUAAGCACUCUCCUAGGUAUUAACUUAUUCAAUCAUUAUAGCAACCCCAUGAGGUAUGUGUACUAUUAUUAUCCCUGUUUUAUAGUUGGAGAAGCUCAGACCCAGAGGUUAAGUAACUGGCUUAUGUUUACUCCCAGCAAGGACUCAAACUCAGGAAUCCAGGCUGCAAAGCUCACCUCCUCAUCUGCUGAGCUGUGGUAACACUACCUUCCUCAGCAGGCACUCGUUAAGACAAAAUGACAUCAUCAUCCAUGCAAAGCUCUUAAAACAGAGCCUGACACAUAGGAAGCGCCCAACAAAUAUUAGUCAUGAUGAUGACGAUGAUGAUGCACUCUUUCAUUCAAAAGAUAUUUAUUACUGAGUGUGUACUCUGCAUCAGCUUCUGUCCUAGAAACUGGGCUUACAUCCAUGAACAAGGCCGUUUUUGCUCACACGAAGCUUCAUCAUUGUCACGACCAUCACUAUGAUCGUCACCAAGAUCAUCUUUACCACCAUAAUCACCAACAUCAUCACCAUCACCAUCAUUACCAUCAUUGCCUCAUCACCAAGACUGUUCCUUCACAGUCAUCACCACCAUGAUCACCUUUCACACCAUCAUUAUCACCUCCACUACCACCAUCACCGUCACCAUCAAUGUGACCAUCAUCACCAUGAUCACCACCGGCACCACCAUCAUCAUCAUCAUUACCAUCAUUCCCUCAUCACCAUGACCACUCCCUCAUGACCAGCACCACCAUCAUCACCAUCACCACCACCACCAUCAUCGUGAUGGUCACUGCCUCAUCACCAUGACCAUUCCCUCACAAUCAUCACUAUCACCAUCACCUUCAUUUCACCAUCUUCAUCAUCAUCAUCAUAAUUACCACCAUCACCACCACCACUAUCAUCAUGAUGGUCAUUGCCUCAUCACCAUGACCAUUCCCUCAUGACCAGGACCAUCAUCAUCAUCAUGAUAAUCAUCAUCAUCACCACCACCAUCAUCAUCAUCAUCAUGUCCACCGCCUCAUCACCAUGACCAUUCCCUCAUGACCAGGACCAUCAUCAUCAUCAUGAUAAUCAUCAUCAUCAUGUUCACCGCCUCAUCACCAUGACCAUUCCCUCAUGAUCAUCAGCAUUAUUUCACCAUCUUCAUCACCACCACCAUCUUACCAUUAUCACCAUGACCCUCACCACAAUGAUCAUCACCCUAUCAUGAUCUCCGUCGCCAUCACCAUCACGAUCAUCACCAUCAUCACCACCCUCAUAAUCAUCUCCAUCAUCAACACCGCCUGGCAUGGCACCUGGGCUAUUCACAUAUCAAAAUCAGUCUUGUGAUUCUGUCUUUCUAGGAUUCCCCAAAA
rnacentral:lncRNA from 1 species